AGUUAAAAACUUUAAUGAAAGUACUAUGUUUUGAAAACAUUAAAAAGGGGUUUAAAUCCCCUAUUAACUU
rnacentral:tRNA from 1 species